AUUGAACGCUGGCGGCAGGCCUAACACAUGCAAGUCGAACGAGUGGCGGAGGGGUGAGUAAUGUGUGGGAAUCUCCCUUAGGGAGGGGGAUAACUACGGGAAACUGUAGCAAAUACCGCAUACCAUGAGAUGAGCCCAUGUGGGAUUAGCUAGUUGGUGGGGUAAAGGCUCCCCAGGGCGACGAUCCCUAGCUGGUCUGAGAGGAUGACCAGCCACACUGGGACUGAGACACGGUCCAGACUCCUACGGGAGGCAGCAGUGGGUAAUAUUGCACAAUGGGGGCAACCCUGACGCAGCCAUGCCGCGUGUAUGAAGAAGGCCUUCGGGUUGUAAAGUUCUUUCAGCGGGGAGGCGUUACCCGCAGAAGAAGCACCGGCUAACUCCGUGCCAGCCGCCGCGGUAAUUC
rnacentral:rRNA from 1 species